UAGGUUGAACUACGCAGGAACAGCCACAGAGAUGUGGUGUCCUUCGGGGCCGUGCGAUAGGUGGUGCAUGGCUGUCGUCAGCUCGUGUCGUGAGAUGUUGGGUUAAGUCCCGCAACGAGCGCAACCCUUAUCCUAUGUUGCCAGCGCGUAAUGGCGGGGACUCGUGGGAGACUGCCGGGGUCAACUCGGAGGAAGGUGGGGACGACGUCAAGUCAUCAUGCCCCUUAUGUCUAGGG
rnacentral:rRNA from 1 species